ensembl:lncRNA
UCAGGUUCAACAGGGCUCUGUAAGUAUGUGGGUGUUGGGAAAAGAGGGAAGUUAGCAAGGACGACUAAGCCUAUGUAUCUUGGUUUUUGACACAUUUUGACAAAAUUGUCCAGUUCAGGAGUAUUAUAUGUGGAUGGUAGGUCAUCCUAUAGACCUUGUUGAUGCUCUCUGGGGUGGGUAGAUUUGUUGUUAUUGUAAUAGCUGAGUAGGUCUGUGCAUUUCAGUUUCAGAGCUGCCAGCUAGCGAGGGUAUACCAUGUCUAUACAUGUUUCAGUGUUGAAUGUGUUAGCAGAGUCCGUAGGUUUGUGGAUGUCAAAGUUUAAGAGUGUUUGCGCUGUCUGGAGGUUCUGGAGGUCUGGAGGUUCUGGAGGUCUGGAGGUUCUGGAGGUCUGGAAGUUCUGGCGGUCUGGAGGUUCUGGAGGUCUGGAGGUUCUGGAGGUUCUGGAGGUCUGGAGGUCUGUAGGUUCUGGAGGUCUGGAGGUCUGGAGGGUCUGGAGGUCUGGAGGUUCUGGAGGUCUGGAGGUCUGGAGGUUCUGGAGGUUCUGGAGGUCUGGAGGUCUGGAGGUUCUGGAGGUCUGGAGGUUCUGGAGGUCUGGAGGUUCUGGAGGUCUGGAGGUUCUGGAGGUCUGGAGGGUCUGGAGGUUCUGGAGGUCUGGAGGUCUGGAGGUUCUGGAGGUCUGGAGGUUCUGGAGGUUCUGGAGGUCUGGAGGUUCCGGAGGUCUGGAGGGUCUGGAGGGUCUGGAGGUUCUGGAGGUCUGGAGGUUCUGGAGGUCUGGAGGUCUGGAGGUCUGGAGGUCUGGAGGUUGCGAGGGGAUGAUGCUUGAUGUUCAGUGGUGGUUUGACAACUGAGCCUCUUUUCUCUCUCUGUCUCUCUCUCUCUCUCUCUCUCUCUCUCUGUCUCUCUCUGUCUCCUCUCUCCUCUCUCCUCUCUCUCUCUCUGUCUCUUUCUCUCUCUGUCUCUCUCUCUC